rnacentral:rRNA from 1 species
CCUACGGGGCGCAGCAGUAGGGAAUCUUCCACAAUGGGCGAAAGCCUGAUGGAGCAACGCCGCGUGGGUGAAGAAGGUCUUCGGAUCGUAAAACCCUGUUGUUAGAGAAGAAAGUGCGUGAGAGUAACUGUUAACGUUUCGACGGUAUCUAACCAGAAAGCCACGGCUAACUACGUGCCAGCAGCCGCGGUAAUACGUAGGUGGCAAGCGUUAUCCGGCUUUAUUGGGCGUAAAGGGAACGCAGGCGGUCUUUUAAGUCUGAUGUGAAAGCCUUCGGCUUAACCGGAGUAGUGCAUUGGCAACUGGGAGACUUGAGUGCAGAAGAGGAGAGUGGAACGCCAUGUGUAGCGGUGAAAUGCGUAGAUAUAUGGAAGAACACCAGUGGCGAAAGCGGCUCUCUGGUCUGUAACUGACGCUGAGGUUCGAAAGCGUGGGUAGCAAACAGGAUUAGAUACCCGUGUAGUC